rnacentral:rRNA from 1 species
AACGAACGUUAGCGGCGCGCCUAACACAUGCAAGUCGAACGCGACAGGGGCAACUCUGUUGAGUGGCGCACGGGUGAGUAACACGUAGGUAAUCUCCCCCCGAGUGGUGGAUAACCUUCCGAAAGGAGGGCUAAUACAGCAUAAGACCACGGCUCCGAAAGGAGCUGAGGUCAAAGCGGAGGACCGCAAGACUGCGCGCUUGGGGAGGAGCCUGCGGCCCAUCAGGUAGUUGGCGGGGUAACAGCCCACCAAGCCUAAGACGGGUAGCUGGUCUGAGAGGAUGAUCAGCCACACUGGAACUGAGACACGGUCCAGACUCCUACGGGAGGCAGCAGUGGGGAAUCUUGCGCAAUGGACGAAAGUCUGACGCAGCGACGCCGCGUGGGUGAUGAAGGCCUUCGGGUUGUAAAGCCCUGUGGGGAGGGACGAAUAAGUUUCAGCUAAUACCUGAAGCGAUGACGGUACCUCCUUAGCAAGCACCGGCUAACUCUGUGCCAGCAGCCGCAGUAA